GUGGCCUCAAGGACAAAAAUGUUACAGUAGGAUGAUGUGUAGAAUGUAGAAUUGAAGUCCCCCAAGUCACCAAGGAGUUACCAUACCAGUUCCUUCCUGUAUCCUGCCACACCUUUCUUGGCUAUGGAUAUACUUCAAGUUCCUGCUGCCUUGACUUCCUGUAACCUGGAACGAACCAGCUGGUGAUAUCCAAAGACUGAUGCUCUGGACCUGGAUUAAUGAGCUGCUUCAAGAUCCUGCUACCUUGACAUCUCUACCACCAUAAUAAGAUGUAAAAAACUCCAAGGCCACAGCGCAGAUUCACCUCCGUCUAGCUCGAUGACAGUAGUUCCAGCAUAGCCAGUUCCUGCAAUCGAAGAUCAAACCCGUGACAAAGUGGUUAUCUGCAUGGUCUCCUAAGGUCACAUUAUAUCAGAUAAUGCUACAGAGGACCUGCUCACAGGAUCAUGUUUCUGUCAACCCUGGAAAUUGUCCUGCCAACUUGAUGUCUUUCUGGAUUCCUCCCUACACAUCAAUAAAUAGCCUCUGAUUAUUUUAUUAGGGGCCGGAGAUAUGGCUCAACAUUUAAACCCAUGUAUUGCUUUUACAAAGGACUUGAGUUAAAUUCCCAGUACAAUGGCAUAUAAAUCCAGUCACAUGAGGAAUUGAAUGCAUCUGGCAUUCACAUAUACUUGCGCUCAAGUUAACAUUUACAAAGACAGACAGACAGACAGACGGGCAGACAGACAAUUAAAAAUAAUUCUUAAAAAUUUCCUUUGAAAAUACAGUUUGCAUUGCAUUAUUGGA